rnacentral:lncRNA from 1 species
UACACCAGCCCACACACGCACACAUGGUGGGGAGAGAGAAACUCUCCUUUCUCUCUCUAGAAAUCUUUCUCAUCUCUUUAGAUUUUUCUCCCAAAAUUGAAAUUUUGGAGGAGAUGAUGGUGGAGAUGAAGUUGAAGCUCUCUAAUGGUGGAAGCAAGCUUUCCAAUGGUGGAUUUAGCUUGAUGAGCAUGGUGGUCUAAGGUGAGAUCUCAUAAUUUAAGCUAGGAUUUGGUUUAAUCCUUAAUGCUUAGUGUUCAAUAGCCUCUAAUGUGUUGAUUAGCAUGUUGAAUCCAUUUAAUUUGGGUUAAUUGGAGCAUGUGUAGAGGCUAGGUUUUUAAUGGUAGAUCUUUAGAGCUUUAAUUAUAUGCUCUAAGAAUGGAUUUAGAGGAAUCCUAGGAUGCUAAAUAGGUGGUUAAUGCAUGAUUCAUGAAGUUAAAUGAUGGAUUUUGCUAUACUUGCAUCUAGGGCUCCAAUUUUGGGGUUUUUGUAAAUAGUAGGGUUUGAUCUCAUUUGACCCUCUGUAAACCUAAUUGCUAGGUAAACGAACGCGUUGGCGAAGUCAGUUCGGCGAUUCGUCGAGCCGUUGUAAAGAUAUUAAAGAAACGAACGUUUAGACUUCGUUUCCGCCUGGAGGGCCGAGGCGACAUCGUAAAAUCAUGAAAACGGAUUUGAAGCACCGUGGCACAUAACCGAAGACCUUUAGUUUUCGGAUCGUGGAUUGGAGGCCGUUCGGGUGGUCGCGCGAGAGAUCGGGUCAAACCGGGUGCCGGGUGCCGCGGGAGGCCGAUUGCAAGUGACUACAAGCAAUCGGAAAGCAUUUUGAGGUGGGUUGUGCUCAUCGAAGCGACUAGGUCGCCUAUAUGUCUAAGAGUAAUGGUUUUCUAAUUGAUGCACAUAGUUGUAUUGGUAGGCUUACAUGAUAAUAUGAAUGCUUAAAACAUACUAUGUAGUUGAUAUUACCUACCAAAGAGAUGAAAUGCAUAAUGAAUUAGAUGCAAAAAGAAUGCAUGAGAUGCUAAGUAUGGACUACUUUGGAUAAUGAUUAUAUGUAUGUUGACAUAUCAUUUGAUGCUAGUGGUAUAUGUGCAUGAUGACAUAUUGUGAAUCAACAUAUUGUAGAUUAUGUUAAAUAGAAACAUAUACUUGAUGACAUAUUGCCAUGUUGUGGAAUAUAGUAGAUGAACUAUGCAUGUUUUAGACAUGAAUGCAUAGAUAUAUGCUAAUAAAGAAUGCAUAAGUUAUGUGCCAAAUGUAUAAUGAUUACUAUUUUGAUAAGAACGCAAAUAUGUGUAGGAAAUGUUGAAGAACACUUGUAUGUUGACAUAAUGUGAUAAUAUGCUAGAUUCGUAUGAAUGUGCAUUUGGGACGAUAACUCAAAUAGAGUAAAGAACUUGACAUUGAAAAGUAAGAACACUUAGUGUGUGUAUGGCAUUAAAAAGACAAUGAAUGCAUAAUAAGAGUUAAAGAACACUUAGUGUGUGGCAUCAUGAAAGUAAAGAAUGCAAGAAAAUGACAUAUGUGACAUGAUAUCCUUAUAGUUAAGGAAUGGAUUGAACUUGACAUCCUCGAGAUUUUGGAUUUGAUCAUGGCUCAUACUCACCUGUUAGUCCUUACUCAAGGGUGGUAGCUCCCCCUUGGGCGAUGAGCUCCGGAGUUGUCAUCACUGGGUUGUAGCGGGUAUCUCCCCAGAGAACGGUCCCGUCGGGUUGUAGCGGGUAUCUCCCCGAUAGUAGGGAUUUAGGUUGGUAAGUGUUGGUUCACUAGGUUGUAGCGAGUAUCUUCCCAAAGAACGGUCCCGUCGGGUUGUAGUGAGUAUCUCCCCGAUAGCAGGGAUUUGAGGCGAAACCUACGGGUUAGCCGAGAGCAUUAGGUCUUGAUCAUGAGGAUUGGCAUAGUUGGCUAAGGUAAGAGUGACCUUAGAAGAGCAUUGGCAAAGGACCAUCGUGUGGUUAAGAGUAAAGAAUAACAAAAAAAUAAUAAUAAAGAAUGGCUAAGUGAUAAAGGAUUGCCAAUAAUAUAAAGAAUGGUAAAUGAUAGAGAGUAGAAUCAAUAAAUCUACUUGCAUAAGUUGCAUAAUCUACAUACUGCAUAUCUUGAGGCAUAAACAUGUAUUUAAUAUUUGCAUUAAAUAUUGUGGAUAUCUGUUGGACUAACAUGUUUGCAGUGCCUCUUUUGGGCCCAUUGGUCGAGCUCUUCUCUUGGGUGGCCGUACCCACUGGGAACCAUGGAAUUGGUUCUCACCUCACUUUGUUUUGGAGUGUUACAAGUUCACACGUGAGCGGCGCGGCGGCGCGAGGCGAGGGCAUAGCUCCGUACUUAGCGCCCUACCACCGAAACCAGAGAUAGCGGUACCCUGAGUCGACUACUUAGGGAUGUAAGAAAAUAAAAAGAAUCAAGUUGUAAUAAUUUGUAAUAAUUUCGAUUGUAUUUGGAAGUUAAAUGUAAUAAGUAUUUGUGAUGUAAAAUAUAUCUAGUGAAUGUGAAUGCUUGUAAUAGCAAGUAGAUUAUGCUUUUGAUACUUCCUUAUGCAAUCUUUGAUUGAAAUGUGUUCUUAGUUGGAACUUCGUAUAUUGUAUCGAUUGCGACGCCUUGGACGUACAGGGAAGACUCUGUCUGCGGUACCAGAAAAAUCCUGUCCGUUCGGUGGUCUGUCGGCGUGCUCGAAACCGACCAAAUAGACGGACUCGGGGCGUGACAUAAGUCGUCUACAAGAAACACAUGUCGAUAGAAAAAAAACCUAGGAGAAUUCUAUCAUGA